AAUUAUAUAUGUAAUUAUAUAUUUAUAUAAUUAUGUAAUUUUGUUGUAUAUAUACAAUUUUAUAUACACAAGUAUAUACAAACACACACAUAAUAAUGUGUGUGUGUUCAUACACCCACCCUAUACAUACACACUUACUUGGCCUACAAGUUCAGGGAUCUCAAUAUCCCUAAUUACAGCUUACAUUGCAGGCUACACAGAAGCACUGCUGAUUUCAGCCCUGGCAGGACUCCUGUUUAAACAUACUUCCCAGAAAUCUUGGGCAGCUUGCCAUGGCAUUGUGUUAAGAAAAGGACUGGUAGACAGAGAGAUGCACUGUUGAGAUUACCCUUUGGGAAGGACUUGCUACCGACUACAGGGGACAGGAAUCAGCAGACAUCCUCCAGCCAUCAGCUUCUUCAGGAUCUACCUCAGCGUCAAGGAACCACCUGACCUGAGGUCUCAUUCUUCCUUGGGCAGACUACAUCUUAUAACAAAGUGAGAGAAACAUCAUCAGUGGUGUAGAAGAGCUCAGGGAAGCAAGGAGGGCUGCUGUGAAUGACACCAUGAAUUUCUGAAUGUGAUGUCCCUUCAAUUCAUAAGUUCUGGAACCUGUGUCUGGAACCUGGGAAGUCCAACUUCAAAUCACUGACACAUUUGGUGUCUGAUGAUGUCUGGCUUUCUCAUAGACGGCUACCUUCUUCUCACUGUUACCUCAUAUGAUGGAAGUGAGUGCGAGCCAGCAGCUGACCUUCCAGCAGAUGAGAGCAGGGAGUCCAACGUUCUCCUUCAGUAAGU